AUGGAUGGCUACUCUGUAACUGAUAUUGAAGUUAACAACAAACAAGGACACGCAAGACAAAAGCACGAAACUCAUAGGUAUACACAGCUAUCUCUUGAGCUUCUUAGCAAAGAGAAUUUUGAGCAGAAACUUGGUGGUGGUGUUGGAAGAGGAACAAUACAUCGUCCCUUUGGUAUUCCAGCAAACCCAGAAUCCACUGUUGGCUUGGAUACACCGUUGUGUAAGCUGUGUUGGGAUGAACAAGUCAAGGGUAAAUUCAGGGAAAAUAUUUUAUUUGUCACCUUCUCAAAAACGCCCAACUUGAAGAUUAUUGUAGAGAUAUUAUUUGAACACUAUGGAUAUCAAGUGCCCGAUUUUCAAAGUGAUGAAGAAGCAGUUAAGCGAUUGGGACUUUUGCUUAGGAAAAUUGAGGGAAGUUCAAUGUUGUUGUUCCUGGAUGAUGUUUGGCCUGUCUCAGAAGCCCUUGUCAAGAAAUUUCAAGUCCUGAUACUAGAUUCUAAAAUUUUGGUAACUACUAGGGUUGGAUUUCCUAGAUUAGGCACUCAGUGUAUCUUAAAACCACUCGUUCAUGAUGAUGCAAUAACCCUUUUCCGGCAUUAUGCGUCAUUGGAAGAAAGCUGUUCUAGUAUUUCUGAAGAAGUCAUCCAAAAGGUUGUGAAAAACUGCAAGGGUUUACCACUUUCCAUCAAAGUGAUUGGUAGCUCACUCUGUAAUCAGCCUUUUGAGUUGUGACCAAAGACAGUGGAGGAAUUGUCCCAAUGUCUACUUGAUUCUAACUUCAGAUAAUUCUGUCAAGGAGUGCUUCAGGGACCUAGGGUUAUUUCCUGAAGACCAAAGAAUUCCUUUUACUUCUCUUAUUGAUAUGUGGGCAGAGUUGUAUGGACUAGAUGAUGAUGGCAUAGAGGCAAUGUCCAUCAUCAACAAAUUAGACUCCAUGAAUCUGGCUAAUGUCUCGGUAGAAAGACAAUUACUUCUACAAUAACCUCUUCAUCGUCCUUCAUGACCUUCUGAGAGCUUGCAAUUCAUCAAAGCACCCAGGAACCAAUUGAACGGAGAAAAAGAUUGAUUAUUGAGAUAAAUCAAAAUAAACCUGAGUGUUGGCUUGGGGAGAAGUCAAAAUUGCUUGGCUGGCGUGUUAAACAGAAGCCCCAACAUGCCACUGACCACACAUUGUCUAUAUCAACUGAUGAAAAUUGUACUUCAGAUUGGCCCCUAAUGAUGCAACUGGCUCAAGUUGAGGUUCUGAUUUUUAAUCUUUAAACUAGGAAAUAUUCCUUUCCAGAUUUCAUAGAAGAGAUGAACAAACUAAAAGUUCUGAUAGUCACAAGUUACAGUUUCCAUCCUUCUGAAAUGAGCAACUUUGAGCUAUUUGGCUCUUUUCCAACCUGAAAAGAAUACGACUAGAGUGGAUUUUUGUUCCUUCCUUUGUUGCAAUGAAGAAUCUUAAAAAGUUAUCCCUCUACACGUGUAAUAUGAAGCAGGCAUUUGAAAACAAUCACAUGCUAAUUCCAAACGCUUUUCCGAAUCUUGAAGAGUUAAACAUUGACCAUUGCAAAGAUAUGGUGGCAUUGCCUAAGGGGCUCUGUGAUAUCACCUCCUUGAAGAAGCUCAGCAUUACUAAUUGCCACAAACUCUCUGCACUGCCGCAAGAAAUUGGAAAUUUGAUGAAUUUGGAACUCCUAAGCCUCAGUUGCUGUACUGAUUUGGAAGGUAUACCAGCUUCUAUUGGAAGGCUUUCAAAUCUACGACUUAUGGACAUCUCAAAUUGCAUAAGCCUUCCUAGUUUACCGGAGGACUUUGGUAAUCUGUCUAGUCUGCAAAAUCUCUACAUGAGAAGUUGUGCAAGGUGUGAAUUACCAUUCUCAGUUGCUAAUCUUGAGAAUUUAAAGGUGGUGGUAUGCGAUAAAGAGAUAGCUGCUUCAUGGGACGAUUUCAAGCCUAUGCUUCCCAAUCUAAAGAUAGAUACUUGUUCCUUAAUUAUUGUUAACCUGAAUUGGUUUCAUUCAAUCUCUUCCUAAUAUCAUGUAGUUCAGGUUGUCUUUUCAAGGUGUGAAUUACCAUUCUCAGUUGAUAAUCUUGAGAAUUUAAAGGUGGUGAUAGGCGAUGAAGAGACAGCUGCUUCAUGCGAAGAUUUCAAGCCUAUGCUUCCCAAUCUAAAGGUUGUCAAUUCAAGAGCUGUUCAAGUGUUUCUGUUUUAAACCGCAACUGAUGUAAUUUGCGGGUUGGAGUUACUCGAACUCCUUGUGACUUAACUCCAACCAUAAUAAUGAAUGUUCUUCUGUUUGCUGUUCAAAAAAAGAAAAUCACACCAAAAAGGAAAAAGAAUAAAAUACAAUUUUCACGUUAGUAAAAGUAGAGCUGUCAAUUUGGCCAAGUUACAAGGUGGGCCAGGCAGAAAACGCACAUAGGGCCAAAAUGCCCAUAAAAGAAAUGGCUAUAGGGACAGAAAGCUCACAAAGCCCUGUGGGCUAGGACAGUCCAUGGGCCUUGAACUUUUAAGAAAUUUAUUUAUUAUUAAAAUUAUGUUCCAACUCUA